CUAAGCCAUGCGAGUCAUGGGGCGCGCUCUGCGCGCACCGGCGGACGGCUCAGUAACACGUCGGUAACCUACCCUCGGGAGGGGGAUAACCCCGGGAAACUGGGGCUAAUCCCCCAUAGGCCUGAGGUACUGGAAGGUCCUCAGGCCGAAAGGGGCAUCUGCCCGCCCGAGGAUGGGCCGGCGGCCGAUUAGGUAGUUGGUGGGGUAACGGCCCACCAAGCCGAAGAUCGGUACGGGCCAUGAGAGUGGGAGCCCGGAGAUGGACACUGAGACACGGGUCCAGGCCCUACGGGGCGCAGCAGGCGCGAAACCUCCGCAAUGCGGGCAACCGCGACGGGGGGACCCCCAGUGCCGUGGCAUCGCCACGGCUUUUCCGGAGUGUAAAAAGCUCCGGGAAUAAGGGCUGGGCAAGGCCGGUGGCAGCCGCCGCGGUAAUACCGGCGGCCCGAGUGGUGGCCGCUAUUAUUGGGCCUAAAGCGUCCGUAGCCGGGCCCGUAAGUCCCUGGCGAAAUCCCACGGCUCAACCGUGGGGCUUGCUGGGGAUACUGCGGGCCUUGGGACCGGGAGAGGCCGGGGGUACCCCUGGGGUAGGGGUGAAAUCCUAUAAUCCCAGGGGGACCGCCAGUGGCGAAGGCGCCCGGCUGGAACGGGUCCGACGGUGAGGGACGAAGGCCAGGGGAGCGAACCGGAUUAGAUACCCGGGUAGUCCUGGCUGUAAAGGAUGCGGGCUAGGUGUCGGGCGAGCUUCGAGCUCGCCCGGUGCCGAAGGGAAGCCGUUAAGCCCGCCGCCUGGGGAGUACGGCCGCAAGGCUGAAACUUUAAAGGAAUUGGCGGGGGAGC
rnacentral:rRNA from 1 species